GAAUAUUGGACAAUGGGGGGGACCCUGAUCCAGCCAUGCCGCGUGUGUGAAGAAGGCCUUUUGGUUGUAAAGCACUUUAAGCGAGGAGGAGGCUACUCUAGUUACUACCUAGAGAUAGUGGACGUUACUCGCAGAAUAAGCACCGGCUAACUCUGUGCCCGCAGCCGCGGUAAUACAGAGGGUGCAAGCGUUAAUCGGAUUUACUGGGCGUAAAGCGCGCGUAGGUGGCCAAUUAAGUCAAAUGUGAAAUCCCCGAGCUUAACUUGGGAAUUGCAUUCGAUACUGGUUGGCUAGAGUGUGGGAGAGGAUGGUAGAAUUCCAGGUGUAGCGGUGAAAUGCGUAGAGAUCUGGAGGAAUACCGAUGGCGAAGGCAGCCAUCUGGCCUAAUACUGACACUGAGGUGCGAAAGCAUGGGGAGCAAACAGG
rnacentral:rRNA from 1 species